ensembl:lncRNA
AUGUUGUCCCAUUCUUGUCUAAUACAGGCUUCUAAUUGCUCUGUCUUAGGUCUUCUUUGUCGCAUCUUCCUCUUUAUGAUGCGCCAAAUGUUUUCUAUGGGUGAAAGAUCUGGACUGCAGGCUGGCCAUUUCAGUACCCGGAUCCUUCUUCACUCAUGCAACCCCAUACCAUCAGAGAUGCAGGCUUCUGAACUGAGCGCUGAUAACAACUUGGUUUGUCCUUGUCCUCUUUAGUCCGGAUGACAUGGCGUCCCAGUUUUCCAAAAAUAACUUCAAAUUUUGAUUCGUCUGACCACAGAUCAGUUUUCCACUUUGCCACAAUCCAUUUCAAAUGAGCCUUGGCCCAGAGAAAACGCCUGCGCUUCUGGAUCAUGUUUAGAUAUGGCUUCUUUUUUGACCUAUAGAGUUUGAGCUGACAACCGCGAAUGGCACGGUGGAUUGUGUUCACCGACAAUGUUUUCUGGAAGUAUUCCUGAACCUAUGUUGUGAUUUCCAUUACAGUAGCAUUCCUGUAUGUGAUGCAGUGCCGUCUAAGGGCCCAAAGAUCACGGGCAUCCAGUAUGGUUUUCCGGCCUUGACCCUUACGCACAGAGAUAGUUCCAGAUUCUCUGAAUCUUUGGAUGAUAUUAUGCACUGUAGAUGAUGAUAACUUCAAACUCUUUGUAAUUUUUCUUGGAGAAACUCCUUUCUGAUAUUGCUCCACUAUUUUUCGCUGCAGCAUUGGGGAAAUUGGUGAUCCUUUGCCCAUCUUGACUUCUGAGAGACACUGCCACUCUGAGAGGCUCUUUUUAUAACCAAUCAUGUUGCCAAUUGACCUAAUAAGUUGCAAAUUGGGCCUCCAGCUGUUCCUUAUAUGUACAUUUAACUUUUCCGCCCUCUUACUGCUACCUGUCCCAACUUUUUUGGAAUGUGUAGCUCUCAUGAAAUCCAAAAUGAGCCAAUAUUUGGCAUGACAUUUCAAAAUGUCUCACUUUCAACAUUUGAUAUGUUAUCUAUAUUCUAUUGUGAAUAAAAUAUAUGUAUAAAUAUAAAUAUAUUCCAUUCUUUUUUUACUCACAAUUUGUACAGUGUACCAACUUUUUUUGGAAUUGGGUUUGUAUGUAAUUUGAUUACAGUUACUAAUGUCAAUAAAAUUACAUUACUUAAAUUACAAAUGCAGUGUUAAAAAUAUUAAGUAAAAAUCAUGUUUUGCUUAUCAGUAUGCCCUUUAUAAAUCACCAGAGACUGUGAGCUUAAAUGCACACGAGUUGUACAACAUUUUGAUGUAAUGAAAGAUUGUCAUAUUUCAUAUUUCAAAAUGUUGCACUCGAUUUGACAUAUUUUAGUCUGGCAUUAUAUUUUGGGUAAAGUUCAACUAGUGAAUGUGUACAAAUUUUUGUCACAAUAACACAAAUACCAUGGUUAAAUUAUGGUUAGUGUAGCAAAACCAUGGUUAAUUUGUUGUUGCCAUGGUUUAAUUAUAGUAACCAUGGUUUUACUGUACUUUGUAGUGUAUUUAUUUUUAUUUUUAUUUAAAUUUUUUUUAGAUUUGAUAACUUGAAAAGUAAAUUUGAAAGUCACUUCAGAGUAAAGUAAUUAGUAAUCUGAUUGCUUUUUAAAUGCAGUAAUCAGUAAUGCAAUCAAAUUACAAUUUUAAAGUACUAAUUAUACAUUUUUAGAGGAUUGCUUUAUUUGAGUAAUUAACCCAAUACUGAUGAGCACUGUCAUCAGCCCCACAGUGGAAAACAAAACCAUAUCCAUACUGGCUGGACCAGAUCGGCACAGAAUUGAACAGUUAAGCAAUGAGAACAUUUUGGCCUGACAGUGAAAAAGCACUUUAGAUUGCCUGAGGGUAAGUAAAUUAAGAACUAAUUUUCAUUUUUGGAUGAACUAUCAAUUUAAAGCUUUUUAAUGCUUGGUUUAAUUGCUUGGUCUCAAUCCAAGUGUGAUUCCACCCCUCUCCCUGCUAGUCUCUUUUCACAUUGUAUUAGGCUACCAUUUGGUGUGUAAUACAAAAAUACCACCAUGAGUGUUAAUGAUUGCAUCUACGUAGCCAAAUGCUUUUUGUGAGUCUUUUGUAUAUUUAGGUAUAUACAGUAUGUAGGCUAUGUAUGUCAUGGGGUUGGGUAUAAUGUGGGAAAAAUGUUUAGGGUCAUUAAUAAAUUGUUAAUAAGCAACCAAAAUACCAAAAUAUAAUAUAUGGUAAACCAGCAUUGGGCAAAUCUGGCCCUCAGGGUAAAGUGCAGAGCUUAGUUUCAACUCUAAUUAAACACACCUACAUUUAAUUUUGAAGUAAUCCUUAAGACCUCGGGUAGAUUACUCAGGUGUAUUUGAUGAGGGUUGAAGCCAGAGUUCCCCACACCUGAGAGAAAUCAUGCAGCUCAUAUGCAUAGCAAACCUAAAUUCCCAUGUAAACUAAGUUUGUGUUAAUCGACGUUGCUAUUUAAGAAAACUUCUUCCCAGGGGCCAUGCCCCGGAUCCCCAAAAUAGGUUUACAUGUUUGUUACCUAUUAUAACCUUUAUGAGUUUGCAUCUGUGUGACAUUACUGUUUCAUUUUGUUUUGUGUUCUUCUAAAGGCAGUCAGGGAAGUCAGAAACUUCACAAGAGCGUACAAACAAAUCAGUAUUGGUUUCAUUUUUUACUAUUUUAUACAUGUUCAGAUCUGAGGAUAAUUAAAUUCCAUCAUAAAAUAAUAAUAAUUAAAAAUAAAUAAAUAAA